UUUUAGUAGUUUGGAGUCCCGUACCCAUUCAAGGACGACUCAUCGCGUGAGACGACAUUCCGUGGAGUCGAAGUGGCCAUUCGCAGCUUCUGGAAUCGAGUUCGAAUCUUGAUCUGUUCGACUAUCCAUCGGGAAGGACGACCCAUCGCAAGGGACGAGCCUUCGUCAAGUCGAAGUGGCCAUUGGCAGCUCCUGAAAUCAACACAAUUGUGACCUAGACUCGAGUUCUUGAGUCAAAUUUGCAGUUUCAUCCUUCAUAUUUCAAAGUGUGCUUAGUGAGGAGACAACACUAGAGGAAGAAAAUUCUCGCCAAUAAGAAAGCACGCCGGCUCUUAAAAGUCUGUGAGAGGGAAAGGAAAAGUAGGUUUUAUGUCAACAGUUCUUGUUUGCUCAAUCCACGUGCAUCAUUUGGUGAAAGCACUCUAGUCCAGUCACCUUCUUAAAAUAGUUUUCAACCACGGAUUUCUCUCAUUCAAAACAAUGCUCCUCACCAAAUGCUCUUCCAAUCACCUUAAAAUAGUUUUUUUUUUUUUUUCAUUGAUUUAUUCUCAUUGAAUUUUUUAAUAAGAACAGAAGAAGUGAAACCAAUUAUUGAAGAAAAGUUUUAUUGAUGAUUCUCUUUAAAAAAUCUAUAUAUGUUAAGAUUGUUGAUAUGGUCAUGCCAACAAAAUUAUUACACAUUUGGCAAUUGAAAGUCAUUGGAUUUCUAAAAAUUUAUUCAAAAUUAGUAACCAUGGGGUGGAAAGAAAGUUUCAAAGACACAACAUGUUUGAAUACAUUUACCAUAUUUAACUACAUUUUUUUUUUCUUUAGUUCUUCAAGCUAACUACUUACGCAUACUACAACCAUAUAUAAAGGUUGCAAAAAAAAAAAAAAAAAAAAAAAA